GCCAGGCAUGGUGGCCCAUGCCUGUAAUCCCAGCUACUCAGGAGGCUGAGACAGGAGAAUCACUUGAAUCCAGGAGGUGGAGGUUGCAGUGAGCCAACAUCGUGCCAUUGCACUCCAGCCUGGGUGACAGAGUGAGACUCCGUCUCAC
rnacentral:sRNA from 1 species